rnacentral:lncRNA from 1 species
CGUGCUAGAGUGCUGAUAUGCGGAAGGAGUGACUGAUUUAGAGUAGGAAAUCAGCAGAAAUCAUUAUUAGCUAGAUUAAUGUGAGAAAGUAGGUCCAGGCCUCAGGGACAUAGAAAUUGCAGCUUCUCAGCAAGGAAGAAAUGGCAAAGCUGGGCCACUGCCUAAGUUCUCAGGACCUUGUAUAGCAAUGACCUUCAGUAUACACAGCACAAAUCCGUUGAAUGAACAAGCUGAGAUGAAGGAUGCGUUUUGCCGGGAGAGACUAUCGGUUUAGUCUGCUCCACAGUGAACUUGGAGAUGCUGGAAUAUAAAACAAAUGCAUGUUCAGAUCCCAGACUACUUAACUGCCUUGCUGCCACCAGAAUCAAUGUGUCUGAUUGUUUUCUUGGGAGAAUGAAGAAGGUAUGGCUAAUAAAACACAAGGUAAAUGCCACAUAACUUGCUACUCAUCAGUAACAUCCAUGCACUGCAGAGAAAACUGUUCAAACUAGACUUCUCUGGGAUUCUACAACCAAUCACUGCUGACUCCCUGUCUUCUCUCUCAGUAGUUAUUAAUAACCUAUCAUCUAUUGGUCUACUCUCUUGCCCAUCCUUCCCUUCCCCUAAGACCCACCUAUUUGAGCAGACUUGCCAAUAAAGACCGUUUUCUCUCAGUA